rnacentral:lncRNA from 1 species
CCAUAUUUUCCAAUUUUCCAACUUUCCAAUCAAUAGGUCGAAAUUAGCUCAGGUGUACCGGGUCCCAAACCAAAGGUCUACCUAACCUAAAAUCGAUAUUCCGAAGCUGCUGGCAUAGUUCGUUCGGCCAUCCGUCGCACGGAUCAAAAGAUAUCCACUUAAGUCUAAAAUAAGGCACUAGAAGCCAUCAAAAACCACAAUAUUACAUAAAUGAUACCAAAAUGCAUAAAAAAUCAUGUCAAUC